GCGACCUCGCGAGAGCAAGCGGACCUCAUAAAGUAUGUCGUAGUCCGGAUUGGAGUCUGCAACUCGACUCCAUGAAGUCGGAAUCGCUAGUAAUCGUAGAUCAGAAUGCUACGGUGAAUACGUUCCCGGGCCUUGUACACACCGCCCGUCACACCAUGGGAGUGGGUUGCAAAAGAAGUAGGUAGCUUAACCUUCGGGAGGGCGCUUACCACUUUGUGAUUCAUGACUGGGGUGAAGUCGUAACAAGGUAACCGUAGGGGAACCUGCGGUUGGAUCACCUCCUUACCUUAAAGAA
rnacentral:rRNA from 1 species